rnacentral:rRNA from 1 species
AUUGAACGCUGGCGGCAUGCCUUACACAUGCAAGUCGAACGGUAACAGGUCUUCGGAUGCUGACGAGUGGCGAACGGGUGAGUAAUACAUCGGAACGUGCCUAGUAGUGGGGGAUAACUACUCGAAAGGGUGGCUAAUACCGCAUGAGAUCUACGGAUGAAAGCAGGGGAUCGCAAGACCUUGUGCUACUAGAGCGGCUGAUGGCAGAUUAGGUAGUUGGUGGAAUAAAAGCUUACCAAGCCGACGAUCUGUAGCUGGUCUGAGAGGACGAUCAGCCACACUGGGACUGAGACACGGCCCAGACUCCUACGGGAGGCAGCAGUGGGGAAUUUUGGACAAUGGGCGCAAGCCUGAUCCAGCAAUGCCGCGUGCAGGAUGAAGGCCUUCGGGUUGUAAACUGCUUUUGUACGGAACGAAAAGCCCUGGGUUAAUACCCUGGGGUCAUGACGGUACCGUAAGAAUAAGCACCGGCUAACUACGUGCCAGCCGCCGCGGUAA